CCUACGGGAGGCUGCAGUGAGGAAUAUUGGUCAAUGGACGCAAGUCUGAACCAGCCAAGUCGCGUGAAGGAUGACUGCCCUAUGGGUUGUAAACUUCUUUUAUAAAGGAAUAAAACGAGGCACGUGUGCCUUUUUGCAUGUACUUUAUGAAUAAGGAUCGGCUAACUCCGUGCCAGCAGCCGCGGUAAUACGGAGGAUCCGAGCGUUAUCCGGAUUUAUUGGGUUUAAAGGGAGCGUAGAUGGGUUGUUAAGUCAGUUGUGAAAGUUUGCGGCUCAACCGUAAAAUUGCAAUUGAUACUGGCAGUCUUGAGUACAGUUGAGGUAGGCGGAAUUCGUGGUGUAGCGGUGAAAUGCUUAGAUAUCACGAAGAACCCCGAUUGCGAAGGCAGCUUACUAAACUGUGACUGACAUUGAUGCUCGAAAGUGUGGGGAUCAAACAGGAUUAGAUACCCGAGUAGUC
rnacentral:rRNA from 1 species